AGGUUUCUUACCCAUUAGAUUUGCAACAGUGUUCUUCCUUGCCAAAUUAGGGCUUUGAUUUUCUUUCAUCUCCUUAAUUCUCCAUCCUACCUAUUCAGCUUUUAGAUCAGGCCUCCAUUUCAACCAUUCUUUUGCUUCUACUUCUGAAAUUGCAAGGAGUUGAUUGCAGUUUCGUGUUUUAUAUUCUAAAACUCCAUAAAACAGCAAUAAACUUCAAACUUUUCAUACUUCAAUUGUAGCACGAAUAUCUUUUUAUUUAGGCUAAUCAGCUUCAUGAUUUAUUUGAGUGUUUUAGUAACAUCCACUUUUACUAUCACCUUCAUAAUUAUGUCUUCCUUAGACCUCAUUAUAAAGAAAUCAAUAUCUAAGACGUUUUCAAUUUUUUCCCCUAUCCUCCUUGCCACUUCUUUUAUUUUACAAAACUCCGGUAUAUCCCACAUUUGGAUCCACAUAGGGAUUCUCGAAUAGUCAUCUUUUGCAAUCUUCAUAUCUGAAUUCCAUUGCGUUAGAUGAAUUACAAACUAUUUUAUUAGUCAUGGAGAACCCCUCUCCACUCUGAGCAGAUAAGUUUCAUUGGCAAAGAAAAACUAAUAAUUGUCUCCAUGGCUUUUGAUUCUAAAUCCCUCUGGAUGGUUCUAGAUAGCAGUGAUAGCACUUUCAAUAGUUCCCAUACCAAACUUCCGAUCUGUCAUAAUUCUCCCCACCAGACUCUUGGAAUAAUCCUCAAUACCUGAUUUUACAUCUGCUUCCUCCAAAACAAUUACUUCCUCAUCAGAUUCAUUAACAUGAUCUGAUUAUCUCACCAUAACGCGGUAAAAGUGAUAUUGUAGCUUGAAAACAAACACACGCGCGCGCACAAAAUCCAAUUUUCAGUAGACUAUAUUUUUGAAUUGUCAGUAAAAUUGAAUUCAAACACUCUCACACUGACAAUAGCUCUCAAAAUUAUCAAAAUCCUAACCUACACUACAAAGUCAAAACCCAAAUGUGGAGUAGCUGAGAGCAAGGAUCUGGGGUUCAUUAUGGGGAAUGAAAGCUUGAAUCCAAACUACGUGUUUCCCCGAUGGAUGCCGCAAUUCGAUUGCAAAAGCUAUUGUUCUUGAUGAUGUCUGUCACAGAUUUAAGAUCAAAGGUUGCAUUUAUCUCGCUAUUCUACCUCUGGAAAAUAAGAAAGUUACUAGCAGGGUACCAAUUUUCUUAUUCUUACUAUUGUUGUUGUUGAUCCUUUGCUUUUACUUAAUUUCUCAUUUCUAAGCUUGUUUUAGUUCAUCAGUGGUAAUUUUUCCCCAUGCUAUUGUUGAAUAAAUCCAAAUCAUCUGAGCAAUUUGCCCAGUAGCUCCUAGAAAUUAGAAAAACUUGUUUCUUGCAUGAAUUGAACCUUUCUUGCAUGCUUAAUUCAUUGCCUGAAUUUGUUUAUAGCAUAGUUGAGGUUUGAUUAAUAGCACGAGUUUUAGCUUGCUUUAGGUCUUGUAUUUGAUUAUAGUUGGGGUUUCAUUUUAUUUUUUUUUCUUUUACUGAUUUGUAUUUUUCUUCCUUUUAAACAAAUGUUGUUUUGGCUUAUCGUUGCAUCGGACUCAAUUUUAGUUGCUGAAGUUUGAUUUUGGUUAAUGAAUUUAUUUCAUGCUGUCACAUUUAGUUUUAUGUAUAAUGUCUUAAGGGUUAUUUAAUUUCAUUCCUUUUGUUGUUCUAACAUCAUCUUGAGCGGCUCCCUUUGCUAUUCAAUCAGCAUUGGCAAAUUUCGUUGCAUCCAUAUUAUUAUUUUUUAGCAGUAGAUUCAAAUCUGAGACUAACCGUAUCACGUAGAUUUUGUAAAUUGCCAACGUAUAAAGUUUAAAAAUCAGUCUACUGAAGAUCUAAGUUGUUACAUGAGUCGAAAGAGACAAGGACUGCUAGAGAAUCUUCUACAUUUUCUUGAAUGAGAUUUGUCAAUAAGAAGUGAUACAAUGAAGUUAUCAUCUUUAUAGGGCAUUGUUCUGAUGAAUGAGCGGUUUCAAAAAUUGAUCACCGAUAAAGAGAAGCUUUCAAGUUUCAAGAUUUUUAAUGCAACUCACCCAAGAAUUUUAUUGAUUAUGAAAUGGAGGUUGCACAAUAGAUUUUACUUGGCAAUUUUUGGAUUUAUUGAAUCUUACAAACGGUUUAUGCCCCAUAUGAAGGAACAUUUGGAUCUUUU